rnacentral:tmRNA from 1 species
GGGGAUGUAAAGGUUUCGACGGGGUAUCGAAGCCACGAAGUUCGCAGGCCAAUGGUUAUGAAGCCUAACUCUUAACCGCUAAAUGUAAUUGAAGAAAACGAUUACGCACUCGCUGCCUGAGCCUAGCUCAGAUAGCCCCUUCGGUAACACUAGCUGCGAGCAGGGCUGAAGGUUUUAAAUAAACGCAGCAGUUUUCCAGUUUUUCACAAAAGCUGGUGGUGGAGAACUCUGAAUCCCAGAGUUUCGCUUCUAUGAUGCCUGCAUACUCAGGCUAUUGCGAUAAUGCUUCGUGAUGUGGACAUAUUUCGGACAGGAGUUCGAUUCUCCUCAUCUCCACCA